rnacentral:rRNA from 1 species
GACGAACGCUGGCGGCGUGCUUAACACAUGCAAGUCGAACGGAAAGGCCCUGCUUGCAGGGUACUCGAGUGGCGAACGGGUGAGUAACACGUGGGUGAUCUGCCCUGCACUUCGGGAUAAGCCUGGGAAACUGGGUCUAAUACCGGAUAGGAGCCAUUUUUAGUGUGAUGGUUGGAAAGUUUUUUCGGUGUAGGAUGAGCUCGCGGCCUAUCAGCUUGUUGGUGGGGUAAUGGCCUACCAAGGCGGCGACGGGUAGCCGGCCUGAGAGGGUGGACGGCCACAUUGGGACUGAGAUACGGCCCAGACUCCUACGGGAGGCAGCAGUGGGGAAUAUUGCACAAUGGGGGCAAGCCUGAUGCAGCGACGCCGCGUGGGGGAUGACGGCCUUCGGGUUGUAAACUCCUUUCGCUAGGGACGAAGCUUUUUGUGACGGUACCGAGAUAAGAAGCACCGGCUAACUACGUG